rnacentral:hammerhead_ribozyme from 1 species
AUCCAGCUGACGAGUCCCAAAUAGGACGAGAUGCGCGUCAUGAAU